GCCUUAAUAGUUUAAAUAUAAAACUUUGGUCUUGUAAAUCAAAAAUGAAUCUCUUUUCUUAAGGCU
rnacentral:tRNA from 1 species